rnacentral:rRNA from 1 species
UACGUAGGGUUCGAGCGUUAAUCGGAAUUACUGGGCGUAAAGCGUGCGCAGGCGGUCUGUUAAGACCGAUGUGAAAUCCCCGGGCUUAACCUGGGAACUGCAUUGGUGACUGGCAGGCUUUGAGUGUGGCAGAGGGAGGUAGAAUUCCACGUGUAGCAGUGAAAUGCGUAGAGAUGUGGAGGAAUACCGAUGGCGAAGGCAGCCUCCUGGGCCAACACUGACGCUCAUGCACGAAAGCGUGGGGAGCAAACAGG